CUUUUUUUAACCGAGAAAGACUAUGAUACAUUUAAGUGCCAUUAGGAAAGAUCGGGGGUUAGGAGCAGUGGAAGGCAGAGGAGAAAAGAGAAUCAAUUGUGUUAGCUUCCUGAAGAGGCAAACUGAAACUAAGGCCAAGUUCUCAUUUUUCCCUCGACUCUGACUCUGCCAGGCUCUCCCAGCUCCCUGCCCCUGACCCCUGGCUUCCUCUCUUCACUGUCAGAUGUGCCAUAAGCCGCGGCCAUGACGCUGGACCAGAGAUCAUCAAAUCCAGCCUCAAGCCGUCUACAAACAGCCACCAUAGUCACAGCGCUCCCCUGUUUGCAGAAUGGUUUACUUAGUAUCUGACGAGGGGAUGACCUGGUGCCUAGUUUUAAAGAUUUCACCUUUUCCCUGGCUUUUAAUCAUUUAUAUUUAAUCCUCUGCCUUACCGAGAAGAUCUUGCUUUCAUCUUUCCGGUUUAGAAGCCAUCAUUCUUGCUCACUGAGAGAUAGUGGUCAGGAGCUGAGCGUCCUUGCCAUGGCUCUGCAUUUCUAUGAAUCCAGACCCGGAGGCCCCCACCCCUGCAGCCAGCCUAAGAACCUAGUGCCAUGCCGUUCCAGCCAGGAGGAGCUGUGGUCAGACAGACCUGGGUCCAAUGGGGCUCUGCCACUCUCCAGCUGUGUGACCUCAGGAAACCUAUUCAACCUCUCUAAGCUGCAGACCCCUCCCGUGCCCACUGCCAUGUGAAAGAGGUUGGCUUGAGUGAGAUACUGCAUUUAGA
rnacentral:lncRNA from 1 species